AUAAACGACUCUCGGCAACGGAUAUCUCGGCUCACGCAUCGAUGAAGAACGUAGCAAAAUGCGAUACUUGGUGUGAAUUGCAGAAUCCCGUGAACCAUCGAGUUUUUGAACGCAAGUUGCGCCCGAAGCCAUUCGGCCGAGGGCACGUGCUGCCUGGGCGUCACG
rnacentral:rRNA from 1 species